rnacentral:lncRNA from 1 species
CAAGGAGUUGGCUCGAUACCUUCCACCAAGGAUUCUCUCCUUAGCUUGAUACCAGCUGAACAAGCGUCAUAUGCCUCUGGCUUCCCCAGAUGACUCACAGGAGAGCUUUGUUUGGGAAGAGUGGGCCGAGAUGAUGGUUGACAAAAAUAACCACGGGUCCUCGAAGACGGCGUCAAGCUCUACUGGUGAAAAGAACAUUAGAGGUGACUCUGAAUGCUUCACCGAGGCAGGGGAAGAUAGCGUUUGCCCUGGCAUCGUGGGUUAGCAGAUGCUCACAUGCUCAGAGAAGCAGAGUUAGCAUAAACGAAGUAAAACCGCC